CUUCAUUAACAGGUUGCAGUGUUCUCGGAUUCCCAGCUGCGUCCCCUGGUACAAGGGGAAGUCACUGCUCCUUCCAACUGGUAUUUGAAUUCCACCCCUGGAGGAUGUUUCAGUCACGUUGCACAACAGAUCAAUCAUGUGAAGUUCCCCAAAAACGUCUCUUCGCCAAAAUGUGUAGUGCUUCUAGUAGGCACAAAUGACAUGGCACAGCACAUUUUGAUUCAAAGGGCAGCGGGAAGUCUGGGAAAUCUGUUAUCCACUGCAGAAAAGAAGUUUCCUGAUUCAAAGAUAUUGGUGACGUCAAUCCUUCCAAGACUAGACGAGUUAGAAUACAGAUCAGAGUUUGAAUAUAUAACAAAAAGAUGUAGGAGCUCUGCUCGAGAAAGAGACAGAGGUUCUUGGAUGUAACACCUUACUUCCCCAAAUCUGACAAACGUCUCAGGUCAUGGAAGGAUGGCGUCUAUAUCAGCGAAGACAGGGGACUCCCUUUUCUGCUUCUGCUGAUUCAAAGGGAAAUCCAAGCGUCAGGAGGCGCCGCCUGUAAAAUGACAGCAGUUUUGCCCCAAGUGGAUGUGGAGAGAGCUGAAAAACCACAAUCCUCUGGUUCGCAAUGUGGAAAGAAAGAAGAGCCAGACUGUUCAAGCGAGAUUCAAUCAAGAAAAGAAGCAUAAUCUACGUCAAGAAAGAGGUUUUCACCGUCUCGGUAGACAUGAUGCUUCGCAAAGCAGGUGCCCAUGCGGAAAUUAUACGCAGACACGGCAUAAUUGUUGACAAUGUUGUUGUCAAAGCCAGACAUUGUGGGAUAUAUGACAGCCAUGCCAAACUGAUGAUGAGUUUGACAGCUCAGUUCACAAACUGGAGGAAUCAUGGUCAAAAAAACAGGAUCCACAUCAAUCAGGGAAACGCCACAAGAAAAUUGGCACAUAUCAGAAACCACCGAAAUACAAGGUGCACUUUUCGCAGCAAAUUUGGAGAAGAAUGUUGAAAAGCGAAAGCAGAAAAAUCGAUCCGCGCAGUCUAGGAAGGUGAAGAGAGAGUUGCGAUUUGAUAAGGAAACAGCUAAAUACGAACAUGAAGAAAAAGGUCCAACUAGUAAAAAGGUAAGAAAUAACAUUAAAAAGGAUGAGGUUAGCGUAGAUAAUAUUUUUAAUGAAGAAGUUGACAGUAACAGUUCUAGUGACCCUGAAAAUCAACAAACUUUGACUACUAGAGAGAAACCAGGCUUCUGAGUUUACAAAGAUGAUUGUUAUCGUAAUGCGUUAGAAGCAAGUGGAGGCUCUAUGGAAAAGCUAAAAAGGUAUUGGAAGAUUGUUGGUUUAGUUUGUCCACGGCAGAAAAAGAAAAAAUUAUCAAAUAUGGCAGCAAAAACAAGGACCUGUGCUGUUUCUGUGGCAAAGACGAGGCUCCUAGAUCUGGGAAUGAAAAUCGAAGAAUGGAUCUUGUGUUUUCAAUGCCUGAAUUGGUCUCAUCAGAAAUAUGUACUUUGCUGGCAUCAUCCCUGGACGCAGGGGUUAGGGGGCACCCAGGUGUAAAAGAGCAUAUGGAUCAUAAGCCUCGAAAUGCUCUGCCUGGUGGAUUAGCUGAGGAGCUAGAAAGGACUAAUAAUCACAAAUUAUAUCAUAUAUGUAUAUUUGUGUAUAUAUCAUAGAUUGAAGAAAGUAAAACUACAUGGUUUAUCUCUACAAGCCUGUUUCGUGAGUAUAUUUAUAUACAUAUAUAACACUCUAUAUGAAAGAGAAUAAACAGUAUAGAAUGCCUAUGCUGAAACACGCCCCUUUAAUGCAGGUACAGUACUUCAAUAGCACACUGGCUCCCAGAUCUCGUUUGGCACAAGGAUGUGGAACAAUGCUCAGUACAGCAGGGCUGCGGUUGGUAUAACACCAUUUUUUCUUAGUUUUCUGACAAGCUGAGCUUGUUAUUUGUAUGGUUUCGAACAAACAUUGCUACCUUUUUGGAACCCAAGAUCUCCGCGGGAGAACACUUCAGGCUUGUCUACUGCGGCACCCUCAUCGGUCAUGUUUGCUGUUGGUACAUCAUCACGGUGGAUGCCUGACAUGACGAUAACCACAUGACCAUCAAUCAUAUGCUCCCUGAGCUUCACUCUCGCUCGAAUCUACGCCUGCACUUGUUGAUAUAACACAAGACUAUCCACAAAAUCAGCACGUUAUAAUGGCCAGCAAUUACAUUUCAAAAGACAAAGAAGACACACGCUAAUCAUCCACCACCAAGAAAGGUACUACAUUUCUACUUUACAAAUUACAAAUUAUCCACACCUUUAAUGUUCGUUCUCCUCACAUGGUUUAGCACUCUAUACCAGUAUUUCAUAUGAUACUCGUUACAUAUAUAGCCAAAAAUCAUAUUUAUAUCAAUAUAUACCAGAAUCUGCAAAGCAUACACCUGUCGAUACAGCCAGCAUAAUGGUGGGGCACACAAAGAGCAGAACAGCAAAUUGACUGCUCUCAAAUCCAAAAGCCUGGCGACUAGCUUCUACCACCAAGACAAAUCUGAAGAAUUUCAGAGACAGGCAGAGAAAGGUCGAUAUUCGACUUUUCUCUACCCGGAGGUCAACAUCCGAUACAGAAAUGAUUUCUCGUUGGAUUUGCAAAAACAAGUGGCAGAGGCCUGUUGCACGUUCCCCAGGACCAUGUGCAAAAUACUGGCCUCCCAUCACGAACCAAUGAGGUCAUCGCAAGAUGAUCUCACACAAAACUACAUAGACAUGGCCAGGAAAAGAUAUCCCGCUGCAUACGCUGGUAUUGUAUCAGGGGCAGAAACCCUGGCCAUGGAUAAACACAUAAGAUACAAAGGAACCAGAGAGUGCCCAACAACAGGCAAUAAGCGGAAACGCGAACGGCGUUGAACAAUUUUGAAUUUAUAAUUAAACAUAUAACUUUAACAAUAUACAUAUAAUUUUGUUUUAUUUUACAACUAUACUAUCAAACCUCAUUCACAUUGUCUUCUAUUGUUCUCGCUGCAUACAGGAUCCGAGGGUACACGUAUAUUCACAAAUCAACAUACCAAAACACGCCUUAGAAAGAUUUGAGGCCAAAAUAGAAAACAUCGCGCGAAAGUGAAAACACAAAAAUCAUCAGCAAGCAAAUACCUUUUAAACGAAAAACAACAAUCUCACAAGGUGCGAUACAGCAAUAUUGUCAAUCUUAAGCUUGGUUUCCACUAUGGGUUAACGUGAGAUAAUUCUGAGCUAAAUUGAAAAUUAACUCAUGGUCUAAAUUCAAGUUAACUUGAGAUAGUGUGAAAUAGCGUGAGAUAACGCGAGCUAUCUCAAAGUUAACCCAUGUACCGAUUCGGUUUCCACUUGAGAUAGAAUUAAGUAUGGAAAUUUCAGAAAACACAUUUUAUUUGAGCCUUCCAGCUAUGGCGGGCAUCUUACAAGAACAACUUAUUUUACUUCUGCUUUUGAGAAUACUUAGAAGGAAAAUAUUUUUUGCUAGAAGUGCCGUUCGCGAUCUGCGCCAAGGUUUUCGGUACGGAAAGUCUACCAAAAAAGAUAUGCGUUUGGUGAAUACGACCACUUGGAAUGGGAACUUAGAAAUGAGAACAUGCUUCUCUUAUUUCACAAUUGAUUUUUUUUUAGUAAAGAAAACUGUUUUCAAUAUCUGAAGUAAUACUCAGUGCAAGUGCGUUGCGUAAGAACCUCAGUGCAAAUUAUAGCACAUUCCCAUCCCACGCAUCGGCUUCUUUUGAUAAGAUGUUAUCUCAAGCUAACUCAUGAGCUUGAAAUCAAAAAAUUUUGUUUUCAAGCUCAUGAGAUAACGUGAGUUAACACGAGUUAAUUUUCAUGAGAUAAUUUUUAAUGACCGUUUCCACUAUGAGAUAAUUUUUAAACCAUGUCAGAUCACAAAAUUAUCUAAAAUUAACUCACGUUAACUCAUAGUGGAAACCAAGCUUUAGUGAUUUGAAACUUAACUUGUUACAAGAAAAGAAAGAAAAUCAAAGUUCCAACUGCCAGAUCAGGAAGGCAAUAUAAUGUUGAUGUUGAACAAAUUUAUUUAAAAGUAGAAAAAUAACAAUAUGUGCCUCGUAUUUCAUGGUACAGAGUUAAAUAUUGUACUUUUGUUCGCCAAAUUUCAUCAUUUUCAUGACACAGUUUUCAUUGAAAGGAGACUUGACCCCAAAUCCAUUUUUCUACUGAUGCUUAUUUACUCUACCUUCUUCCAAAUUCUGCAAAAAAAUUCAGGUUUUAGGUUGUCCUCAUGGGGGGAAGGGGUCAAGAUCAGAUGGCAGUAAAAAACUUUGCACAAAUGGAGAAUGUUCUUGAAGCCUUUUAGCUAUUAAACUGUUUGAGGUCCAUUUCAUCUGAUUUAAUAUUUGAGAUCUAUAUUCCUUAAUUGACUAAAAUACCAAGUUUGAUGCAGAUAUGAUGAACAGUAAGAGAUCUACCACCAAAAUUCUUUCUCUAAAAUCUUUGUUGUUGGAAGCGCCCUAAACCUUGUGUGCCAGGCCUAAAUUUUCAAUCAUUGCUUUUGGUGAUGAUUUGGUAUGGAAUGGGAACUUCUUUCUGAGGAGCAUCAAAAAAUCAUCUGUGAUCAUGUUUUCACACCACAGACUGUACACAAGCAAGUGAGUGUAGGCCCCCUGCAAAUUCUAAGUAAACGUGGAAUAAGAAACAAAUAUAAUGUCUGCUACCUCAACUCAUUACUGCAAAUUCUAUUGGGUCUGUAAUAUACAGGUUCUUUGAAGGUAUCUCUAAAAGUAACAGUAUGGUUAAUCUACUAAAAUCCGUCCAUAAAGAUCUAUGCAAACCGGAUUCUGAACCCCUUGAUUAUACAGAUGCCAUGAAAGGGAUUAAAAUUAUAGUCACGUUAGAAGAAGGAGUCUAAUGUCUAAUGGGAAUGUUUUACAACUAUCUAAAGUAAUGUGUGAACCGGGCAACCCCUAUUAUCAUUUAGCCAGGGUUUUUGAUAUUGUCCAGGGUAAUAUUGAGAAUGCUUGCUGUUUUUAUUUACCAAUUGGAGGCUCAUCUUACCACAAUUCAACAGUGCAAUCAUUGCUUUGGGACUGGAGCACCAUUGCACAAAGAAGUCAUAUUGCUGGCCCUUGUAAAUGCAGCAACAGGGAAGGCCACUUUGUGCAUCAAUGAUUUUGUAUGUUUCCUCUGGCAGUUUUAACAGAUAUUCUAGAUCGAAAUGUUUUUAACAAGAGAAGUUGUUCUGGCAUGAUUGACCCUCUUCCUAUUGUAGUCGCCAAAACUAAAUCUAAAAAAUGUAAUUGCAGGCUUUACUGGAGCACAAAGGAAACCUAUUUUCUAAUAGCAGGAAUUAAUUUUACAGGAAGGAGCAACUUAGUUCAUGGCCAUUAUAAUUGCACUUUGUUUGGAGAAUAUAAUGUUGUCAUACGUUUUGAUGACAGUUACGCUAUGAAAAACCGCCUUUCUGAGAUCAAAACGAAUUCAAACAAGAUCUAGGGUAUUAUUCUAUGUUAAAGAUACACUUCUUUUUAGGUACAGGGUGGACCCACCUUGGCUAACUGACCUUAAUGGCCAUGAAAUUGCAGACCUAGAAAAAUACUGGUUUGGAUUACAAGAUUUCCUGUGUAGAGAAAAUCUCCCGUACAAUGACGGCAGUAUUCGCCGAUUGAAAAUGGAAGCUGCAAGGGCAUUUGCCCUUAGAAAGAAAAUAAGAUUCAAAAUCAUAGAUCAACGUCGGCAUCUCAUAAAAGAAUUAAGGACCGGGGAUGAGGUAUUCCUACAACUUUGCAGGAAACCAAGAGAAAAUAAGAGAAAAUAUAAGAGUCAAAUGAAAAAAUAAGAGAGACAGUUACUUUUAACUUUUCCUUUCCUUAACUGGCUUUUCAUUUGUCUUAACAUUUGUCAUUUGUCUUUUCGUUUGAAUUUAUAGUAUAUUUUUAAUUAGUUAAUUUGCUGAUUACUGAUUACCUUUGACAGUUAAUCGCCGUUACCCAAUAACUCCCAUGUUCGGAAUUGACUUCCAAAUAAGGGCGCGUUUUUCCAUAAUCACAUGAUCACAUGAUCCAAAUAAGGGCAAGUGUCUCUCAAUGAUCACAUGACAAUUUCGCCCCAUAAAACUUGGCUUUCAAAUGACAACCCCACAUUGCACUUUCGCAUAUCUCUAAUCGUAUUUCAACUUUGACGCAUUCAAACUUGUAAGUACCUUUUAUUCAUUGAUUUGCAACUUCCUAAUUUCAUCAUAUAGUCAAAUUUUUCGUAUCGAGAACCAUCGAUACAAAGUAAUGCCAUAGUUAAUAAUCUGAGGUAAAAAAUGUUCCUAUGUCCAAUAUUUAACGAAGCUGCAAAAUAAUUUCAUGCAUUAAACAUCCCUUAAAUCAGGAUAUUUUCAUUGAUAUUCCGUAUGACUAAUAUGCCUUCCUUCAUUGAUUUAAAAAAAAGUUAAAUAAUUAAUUUACAUUCUCACUAUGUAUUUACCAGUGGUAUAACCAAAGGAACCACCCCACUAACAAACAUUGACCAACAAUUGAAAUUCAUCAAAAGCAAUUAUAAGAAUGCCUUAUUUCAAUUAUAAGGCAACCCACCUCUAACACAAAACUAUUUAGUUUCGCACACCCUAGAGAAUUUCCAGGUUAUGUCAUUGGAUCCUAUCUGUAGUUAAUUCUUUAAUUUUAGUUUUGACCUUAUGCUAUUUAAUGAUAAUUCUAAAAGAUCAGGACCUCUAUCAUUGAGUUCGUUGUAUUUGUGAAGUUUAUGAAACGAACCAUUAAAAAAAUUGAACUGUACCACCCGAACCUUUCACAUCUAUAAUACAUACCAGGGGCACAUUCGUAUCUGUUUCAUUGGUUCUGUGCACCAGUCAAGUUGUAUUUAAAAUAUCCGAUUUCCCAAAGUUUUUGCAUGUUGUUUAUGAAAUCAGCGAAAAAUAUUAGUUGCAAUACCAUCAAAUGGUACAGUGCCAUUGACAUUAUUAUUAGGCAGUCUAAUUCUUUUACACUCUUUUUUUAUAAGAACAGUUUUAUUAGAACAGGAGCCUCAAAAUUUGUCAAAGUUAAGAACAAAUUUAGAACAGUCAGCCUAAAUUUAAAUUUACUGGUUCUUAUAAAAAAGGGUAUAGUUAUAUGAUGGUUUCAUACAGUUUGAACUUUCUUUUACCUAAAAUUUCUCCGUUGAUAUAGCAAACGGUAUAGCUCAAUAUAACAUUCAAAACAAAUUGAAGGAGCUGGCAUCUUUCCUUGACGGAUGCAAAUCAUCCCUUUCUGAUAUUAAAAAGGGGGAUAACAAAGGAAGGUCACUUCGAAUUUGCAGAGCGAAGCUGCAAAGUGCUUGAGGUUCUUGCGAAAAAUCUGGAUGAUUUUUCUUGUGAAUUAAAUAUGACAAAGGACAUGGACGAUUCUGACUUUUUAUUAGAAGUAAAAAACACUAAUUAGUUGUACCUAUAUAAAUAUUUUACGCUUACAUUGUUUACAAAUAUGCAUCUUCAUUUUGUUUUUCUUUCAUGUCUCUGUUCUUCGGAUUUAGAGAUCUCCCUAAUUUUUCAAUACUAAUCAUUUAAACAGAUCUAAUCCAGUGCAGAUUUCAUCGUAUUUGAAGUUAUUCUAAAAAACUUUCAUUUUUCCGAUCCAGUACCAGUAACAGUAUUUUCCUUAACAAAACUUUCAGGUCUAUGAAGGUAGCCAUGUUACCGCUUUAUGCCUAGCGAACUUCAGUUUGUUUUGUGUCAAUCUAAAUGCUUCAUCAACAGAUAAAUUUAAUAAUUUUCAAUAUCUCAACCGAAGGAUCUCUGUCUUAACUUUUUUGUGACUUCUUCAUUGUCCUAAACCUUUCAACAAAAAAUAGGCAAAGUUGGUAAACCUGUCAACAAUUUCGGACAAUCAGUUAACGAUAUAUAUUCUACAAUGAUCUAAUUGCCGGAAAAGCAAGGGCAGGGAAGCAGUAACGACACUUUUUUUACCAUACCAAAACGCCCUCCUGAUGUGGCAAGGGCGUUUCAAUAGAAACUGCAGUGCUGUAGGAAGGACAGAAUUAUAUAGGAGUACCAUUGUUUUGCAACAGUACAAACAAAAGUAUUUCUUCAUUGGAAACAAGAGAUUUUUGUAAUUUUUAGAGGCAUGGGCAUGUUUUUUUAAUUUCAUGAGAUGUUGAAAAUAGUUUAACCUUUACACAUUUAGAAACUAUCGGAUUUUUUAAAAUGUCCGCUGCAUUUUGGGACUUUUUGAGCCUCAUUUUGGAAUUUUUAACAAAUCCAAUCUGGCUCUAUGUGUACAUCCAUCAUGGCUGCCUAGAACAGAUCGUUUCGGUUGAGCUUACAGUUUAAACAAAACAGCAAGUUACAGGAUCGAGGAGAUGCUUUCUUCCAUUUCGUAAUUUUGGGUUAAGUUUUAAUUUUCUAAUAAUAAUUACUUUAAAGCAGGGAAGUGUGUGGUUUUCUACCUAUUUUUGUCUGUUUUCAAGAGAGGCAACAGCUUUAUAUUUUUCCUAAUUUUGCAUUCUUUAUUUACUGAGAUACAAUAAACUUACGAAAAUUAUUCAGGAAAUUUUUUUUCAAAAAUCCCCGGACCCCACAUCUGUUCUGUUUUCCGGCUUUUCGUGCCAAUGUCUAUUCUUUUUGUAAUUUACGAUUACGGAGCAGUAAAUCUAUAUUUGACAAAUAAAAUGCUGAGUGACAAUUUCGUGAAGCUAUGGAAACCAGCUCAAAAACCAACUUAAAGUGUAGUUUAAAUGUCUAACCUUAGAAACCUACAAUAUAUAUAUAUUCACUAAUAGCAAUAUUAUCAAAUUCAAAUUUAUACCCCCCUAAAGUCAUUUUAAUAAUUUUAAGCCAGUUUUUGCAACAUUGCUUUUCAAAUUUGCACAAAUUGUUUUCUUGCCCUGACAUCAUAAUAGGUAUUCAAGAGUUUAUGUCUGUAUUGUAAAUCAUGUAUAUCAUUUAGGGCUGAUUAAUAUUAAUAAUAAUAAUAAUAAUAUAACUGAAGCUAAAUCCCCAUUUCAGAGCAGUUACCCAACUACUGAUUGAUGAUAAAAUGAAAUGCAAUGGAAAUGAAAAUAAAAUGGUACCCUUACCUCUCCAUUUUUAGAAACCCCAAAAUAUAUUUAUCUUAACCAAAAUUAAGAAAAAAAAAAGAUUAUCAAACCACCUCGGGUGGUAUUUUAAACUUUAGAGAGCCCUUAGGACUAGCAUUUAAGUAAAUUACAUGUUUUUUCAUGCUCAAUGUCAGUAAUAUUGAUUUCAGUAGUAAACUUUCACACCUUCUUUUCUUUUGUUGCAUUGGGUAACUUUGUAAUCCCCAGCCUUGAGAUAUGCCACGUCGCCCUCGGCGAAACUUCGAUCAGCAAAGAGCAAGAGAAAGGCAAAGACAAUAUUAUCAGAACCAUCGUAACAACAACAGACCACCAAAUGCAGAUGAACAGCAACUUGCUGAUGCAGUAAAUGAAUUAGUUGCCCUGGAACUUCACAUGGCACAAAAUGAGCUUCCAAAUCAACAGGGAAAUAAUGAAGCUGAUAUAUUCACCAAGUCUUGUUUUCAAGGUAAAGUCACUCUGCCACCAAUUGCACUACCUUCAGGAAAUAUUGUUGACCUAUUCAGUGCUGAAACACCACAAUCACAGUUUUUUUGGAAAACAUUCGUCAUUACAAUGCUGCUUUGGCAAUGGCUUCCUGGAAUGACACUGUGUAUGAACUUCCUGGCAGAGGACCCCGUGUUGUUACUAUUCAUCGGCAAACAUACCACUUGACAAGUGCAGCAGAUGCACCUGAAGGUCAAUGUCCACAGUAUUCACAAUUAUACAUACUGGACACAAAUCAAGGAUUGCAGGAGAGGAUUCAUGAUCCAAGAAAUGCAAACCUGCAACCUGAGGUCUUGUAACUGCUACAGGUGAGCUUAUGACUGUCAAUCCAUUUGCACGACAGUUCCAAAAUAUGGGACAAGUUCUUGAAAGAGAACGCAACAAUGCUGCAGCAAACAAUCAGCCAUUACCACCAGUGAGAAUGAUCAUAGCACAGCGACCAUUUCAAGACAACGUUAUGAUAAUCCUACAGCCACAGAAAUGGCUGCAGUUUAUGUUGGAGAUGAAGGGGCACCUCCUGAUCCUGCUAACAGAGACAUAGUUAUAUACCAUACUGCCAACAAUAAUACCACAAAAAUAAAGACAACAUCUCCAAAUGCAGACCAAUGACAUAUCCACUGUUGUUUUUCCAUGGAGAAUUUGGGUGGAAUAUUGAUCUUCGACAUAAUCAGCAGCAACCAGCAGCACGUUGUCCUAAUCAAAGGGAGCGUAUUUCUUUAAACAAGUUUUAUGCUUACAGGAUUGCAUUUCGUGAUGGUUUUUCAAUCAUUCACCGUGCAAAGUUGCUUUUCCAACAAUAUUUAGUUGAUGUAUACACAAUAAUUGAAGGGAAUGAACUGACAUACAUCAGAACCCAUCAAGCACAACUGAGGGUAGAAUCAUAUCAAUGUCUUGUAGACCACAUACACAGAUGAGCUGAAGAUGCAAAUGUUGGCCGCAUUGUCAUUAUACCCUCAACCUUUCAAGGAAGUCCAAGAAACAUGCAUCAAAAUUAUCGAGAUGCAAUGACCAUUGUCACAAAAUUUGGUAAACCUGACAUCUUCCUAACAAUGACUGCAAAUCAAAACUGGCCUGAGGUGAGAGAAAAUCUCCUUCCACACCAGACAGCCAAUAACAGGCCAGAUACAGAGGAGGUGCGAAGCUAGGCGGCGCAUGCGCAUUUCGAUGUUUUUCCUGAAGAAGCUCAUGGCCGACAUUUGCGAAAUUUGCGGUACAAUUUCAAACGGCCUGGGGCACAAAUGAAUAUAUAUCCUAAUGGUGCAAAAUGAAUCAAGACAUGUGAAAAACACAGGCACUCUAAAAAGGAGAGAAUUUCCUUUGCUACGUUUAAAACCCAUUUCAGAAGCACUCAUCACAGCAGAUA